CCAAACAUUAUAUCAUAAAUACAUUCGUUUUACGUUCGGACGCUCGGAUAUUCUCGAUCUGCACGCGGAGACAAAUAGCGAAAACGAAAAACCACCGUUAAAGUAAAACUAAAUUUUAGCGGGUCCGUUUAUUUCCUCUCCGCGAGCCGCGAGCCUGUAUUGCCUGCCCCCGGUGUAGUGCAUCCUCGUUCGGGAAGCACCCUGUAUGCGCGCGAAAAUAGUGCAGCGUAGAAUAUUAUAUGCUAAUAUUCGUGGUAAUUAUCGCGGCGAAACAAAUGCAGCGCACAUAGCGCAGUGUAGGUAUACAUAACGGCAUAUAUUAAUGCGUACGACUAUUAUUGUUGUCAUUACAAUAAUAGAAAGUCGUUGGUCGUCGCGAGUCGUGACGGUCGCGUCGUCGUCGUCGUCGUCGUCGUCG